rnacentral:rRNA from 1 species
CAUUAAAGCGGCACGCGAGCUGGGUUCAGACCGUCGUAAGACAGGUCGGUCUCCUAUCCACUAUGGUCGUGGAAACUUGAGAAGGCGCAUCCCUAGUACGAGAGGACCGGGAUGCACGAAGCUCUGGUGUACCAGUUGCUCUACCAAGAGCACUGCUGGGUAGCCACCUUUGGUUAAGAUAAACGCUGAAAGCAUCUAAGCGUGAAGCUGUCUUCAAGAUUAGGUUUCAUAGACUGGUUAGAGACGAUAACCUUGAUAGGCCGUAGGUGUAAGCACAGUAAUGUGUUCAGCCGAGCGGUACUAAUAAGUCAUUAGAUUU